rnacentral:lncRNA from 1 species
AUCAGAAUGCUCCGGCACCCAGCUGCCGGGGAGAACUCAGAAUGUGUAGUUUUUGGGCAGGCGGUAUUUCAAGCUUCCCAUUCGCUCGUGCCCGCGAAUACCGCCUGCUACGCAGGCUAUGAGGCAGGAUGUGUGCAAGAAAAGCUUUGCCAGAGUUUUGUCUUUCGAAAUAUACAACGACGAUUGUAAAUUGCUGUUUGAUUCUUUGUAAUAUCUCGUCGCUUUGUUAGUAAAAAAGAAUUUGUCACUUCCCUCAUCUAAACCUUUAAAAAAAAACUGGCAUCGUUGGUCUUGGGGUUAGGGGGUACAAAUGGUACCCAUAGCUUAGAGGGUGCAAAUGGUACCCGUAAGAAGACUUGGUGGAAAUCAUGUUGGUCGUUUGGAUCGGCGAGAAUAAGACAAUUAUGGCGGCAAAGUUUUUUUAAACAUUUUCUCUCCCGUAGUAAGGUAAAGCAUGUAUUUUCCUGGUAGCCGGUCUUACUUCAUGAAAAAACAGUCCGCUACCAGUGACUAGGUCCCCUCUCUUAUGGCGGUCAUUGCGGCUCAAUACCUUCAGGGAUAUUCCUUUUCAGGGCGGUUGCAUGCGGAUAAUAUGGUCCGUCGCGUGCGCAAAAUAGUUAGGGAGAUAGACAGUUUAGAGGCGUCGAAACUGCGCAAUAUACACUCGCACGAAACGUUGCUAUUUUGCAAUUUGAAUCUGGGUUGUGCGUUUCUGGCAAAUGCCUUUAGAUUCAAGUUGUUACGACAUUUACAAGCGCAUUACUGUCGUUCCAAUUGAAGUGUUCCUCAAAUAUCGAUUCAAUACAUUACCUCGGGCUGACCAAUUCAUUUCAUCAAGUUCCUCGAAAUAUUCAUACACUUCCUUACUUAAUUGUAAACUUCCUGUUGAAUAGUUUGAAUGCACCAAUCACCUUUGUUGUUUGUGCAACUACCAAUCAUAAAUAGAAAGGAAGUGACCAGAAAUUAUCAAAUUCUUGGAAUUGGCUCUUUCACAGGAAGUGUAUGAAUAUCUCGAGGAACUUGAUGAAAUGAAUUGGUCAGCCUGAGGUAAUGUAUUGAAUCAAUAUUUGAGGAACACUUCAAUUGGAACGACAGUAAGUGUAAAUACGGCAUUACUUUUAAUGAAAAGACCGCCAGGGUUAGAGUGUUUUUAUGUUUGGUUUGUUAAGGAGCAAACUCGCUUUUUAAAAAAAAAGAAAUAUGUAUUAAUUUCGAUCCAGAUUUGUUCCUGAACAUGGUCGCCAUGAAAACACUCUGUAGAGCAAGCCAAGAUCAGCGACGUACGGUCAUAAUAGCGUUGUCGGAAGUUUGCAUUCAGCAUUUCGUUCAAAAUUAAACGUACAUUAUGUUAAUAAGUUGCUAGGGUUGCGUACAAUCGGUACCCACAUUUUAAAGGGAAUAACUAAUAUGUAUAAAUAGGGCGUGCGCACGAAGUUUUUUUCGCAGGCCUUUAACUUCGGGGAAAAUAAUAAAAAAGCAGUGUCCGUGGUCGGGGCUGAAUAGUACUGUGGAAGAUUGGGUUGGGAAAUUUGCAAUUAAGAUCUGUAUUUUUGGGCAAUUGUUACUGCUGAUGUAAAAUAACAUCUAAAGGGUUUGGCAACAAUGAUGUCCGAAGAGGAUGUUAGCCCUAAACUUUAUUUCAUGAAAUGAUUUAUCUUUGUAUAUACUCACUUACAAGACAAUUAAAAAAAUUUCGAGUAAAAGUUUAAUAACAAUUAAUAUAAAUUG